GUCCCCGUAGCACAGUGGUUAGCACCUAAAAAGAUCUUUCAGCGUUUUGAUUUAAUCUGAACUACCUAAAAGACACCAGGAGACGUCGGUUCGAAUCCGACCGGGGACA